AUUUCAUUUUAUGUGCGAUAUAUAAUUGGUAAAUGAAUUUGGAUUGAACGAAUCGUGACGAGUAACAACGAGUAACAACGAAUCUAACCGAACGUUAUCGAACAUUUCCGAAUAGACCGAAACGAAAAUAACCAAUUUCACUGAGAAAGUUCGUCGCUAUUGCCGUUCUAGCGAUUCUAAUGAUUUUGGCCUCUACAGUGAACUCCGUGCCAACGUCAAAGCCAGUAGCAGCUGGAGCCAUAACGCCAUAUCCCAUACCUCAAAGGCCACCAUAUGCACCAAAUCCAUGGGAUUAUCCAAGACCAUUCCCAACGCAAUCGUCUGAUCGUCGUUCAUAGAAAAAAAAAGAAAAAAAAGAAGAAGAAAAGAUAAGAAAAAGAAAUCUAAAACAAAAUUUAAAAAAAAAAAAUAAAUAAUGACAUAGACAAAUUAGCAGACGAUAAUAUUUGAUUAAGCGAAAGAUAAAAUUUACAAGAGGGCGACAAACCUAUGAUUAGGACUGAAUGAAAAUAUUAGCUUUUUGUUGGACAUAAACGUAACAGGAUGAAUCAACGAGUUCUCAAGGUCUCCUCAAGAUUGCAAAUUAGCGUUUAAAUUAUCUGCUUCUUAUCUUGUAUAAUGCAAAUUAAGUUUUUUCUUUUCUCUUUUACCGUCAUAACUUAUAGAUCAUAUACUUUAGUGACUCAAAUCGAUCGUAAUUUCCAAAGAAUAGUUAAAUUAGAAAAUGGGAUAUCGUAAUGAUUCCUCAAUGCGAAUUCGUUGAGACCUUGAAAUAAAAUGUCAAUUUUACUUUAAAGUUGAAUAUCGAAAGGCUAUCAAUUUCAGAAAAAAAUGAAUUGCUAAUCGAUACCCAAACGAUGCGGGUGGAAAGACGGGGAAGAGAGGGAUAAUGGCAGAGGGGAACAAAAACACUUUGAUACGAAAUUUCAGCUUUUGAAUUUAGCUUUGAGUUUUUUCUACCGGAAACACAAAGGACGAAGCCAGUAGAUAUUACGCAGUACGAGAUUAAAUUGUGUAAAAACACAAUGGACCUCUGUAA